CUUCAACGGAUCUCCAGCUCUCAGAGGUCAUGGAAUCCUGGGGAUCUCUAGUUCAUCUUCCAGUUCAGGGUUAGGAUGAAGUAGAUGAAGAAUGUCUACUGCCUCAACCAGACUAACAACUGACUGGACUAACGUGCAGGUGGCUAACCAACACCAGUCUGUCUACUGGCAUAUGGAAUAAAAAGAAAGUUCAGUGACCUUCAUGAAAACGCAAACCUUCUUUAGGGACCCCAAUCUUCUUCCAGAUACAAAGUUCUGUGUUUUUAAUCCCAAUAUUCUACUUGUAGAAUUGUAUGAUUAUACAAUAGUCAUUAAAGAACUCAAAAUGAAUCAGAGGAAUUCAUAGUCAAUGAAGAGGAUGAAACAUAAAGGGUUCCAUCAGGGAAACGUAUGACAGAAAGGUGGAUUGGUCACAGAGCCAGUAAAGACAGAAGGCAAUGCUCCUCACAACAUAAAGGCGCUCCAGCACAUCAGGGGGAUGCUCUGGAUAGAACAGGAGCAAGUCUCAGCUUGGGCAGGUAGGGAAGAUUGAGCCAAGAAUAAAGAUUAAGUACCAGCAUUAUGACAUCUACUUAACUCUGAGAUUUUAGAGAAAUUCCCGAGUUUCAUAAAGAAUGACCCAUUUGUUUCAAAACCUCAGGAAUAGGCACCAAUUCCAUUUGAGUAGAUUAGACAUUUGCUUAGGACAAUUGCACAGGUACUAUAUGGAAGGAAGCACAUUGUUAAUGUGCUUUAAGUGCAGCUUGAUAUCAUGCUUUAUAUUUCCAAUUUGGUGACACGCCUCUCAAACUGGUCCUCAAGGUUCAGAUAGCCCCCCCUGCACUGGGCUGUUAUAGGCAUUGAGAACUAAGGGAUUUCCUAGACCACAAGGGCUUUCAAGUAAGAGUUUUAAUGAAGUAAACAACUUAUCUGUACAAGGAACUAGAUUCCAUUAUUCUGAAGGUCCCAAUCCUACAGAGUUCAUACCUUAUAUCCUGAUCCUGCCAAACAUCUUGUUGAAAUACAGCUAUGUUAUGUUUAAGCCAUCCCUCAUGCUGUCAGCUGCACGUGAUGGGUCUUAUUUUUGAUGAACUCAUUUUCACUUUCACAUACUCGGCAUCAGAGGUUUAGAACUGGAAAAGCCCUUAGAAGUAAUUCAUUUAGUCCCACCUCAUUUUAUUUUUGAUGAAACUGAGGCCCAAAGAGAAGAAAUAACAUGCCCCGAGUUACAAAUGGAGUAAAUGGCAGAGCUACGAUUGAAAUUCAAUCG